GUGCCAGCCGCCGCGGUAAUACGGAGGAUGCAAGCGUUAUCCGGAUUUAUUGGGUUUAAAGGGUGCGCAGGCGGCGCGUUAAGUCAGCGGUGAAAUGUCCCGGCUCAACCGGGGAGCUGCCGUUGAUACUGGCGUGCUGGAGUACGGACGGCGCCGGCGGAAUGUGUCAUGUAGCGGUGAAAUGCUUAGAUAUGCCACAGAACACCGAUCGCGAAGGCAGCUGGCGAGGCCGGUACUGACGCUCAUGCACGAAAGCGUGGGGAUCAAACAGGAUUAGAUACCCUGGUAGUCCACGCAGUAAACGAUGAGGACUUGUUGUCGGCGAUAGAGUGUCGGUGACAAAGCGAAAGCGAUAAGUCCUCCACCUGGGGAGUACGAUCGCAAGGUUGAAACUCAAAGGAAUUGACGGGGGCCCGCACAAGCGGAGGAGCAUGUGGUUUAAUUCGAUGAUACGCGAGGAACCUUACCUGGACUCAAAUGUUGGAUGACCGGUUCAGAAAUGAGCCUUUCCUUCGGGACAUCCAGCAAGGUGCUGCAUGGUUGUCGUCAGCUCGUGCCGUGAGGUGUCAGGUUAAGUCCUAUAACGAGCGCAACCCCUACGUCCAGUUGCCAGCGGGUAAGGCCGGGGACUCUGGAGGGACUGCCGGCGCAAGCCGAGAGGAAGGUGGGGAUGACGUCAAAUCAGCACGGCCCUUACGUCCAGGGCGACACACGUGCUACAAUGGCCGGUACAGAGGGCAGCCACCCCGCGAGGGGGAGCGAAUCUCGAAAGCCGGUCUCAGUUCGGAUCGGAGUCUGCAACCCGACUCCGUGAAGUUGGAUUCGCUAGUAAUCGCGCAUCAGCCAUGGCGCGGUGAAUACGUUCCCGGGCCUUGUACACACCGCCCGU
rnacentral:rRNA from 1 species